rnacentral:lncRNA from 1 species
CCAGACCUAACCCAAGCACCAGCCUACACCACAGCCUAACCGCAAGAACCACCACCACCGCGCGCCAGAAGAGGAAACACCAGCGCUACGCACUCGCCCCGCCCAAACCCACCCCACCCCCACAAGUCGGUUGCUUAAGCAACACCCCAGGAGAACCGGCAGAGGAGACACAAGCAGAAAACUAAACGGGCCAGAUGUGGCGCUGACUAGGCGGGCUCCAGCCCGCUGCAAGACGCGCUGCGCAGGAAGUCCCACAGCCGCCCAGGCGCUGCGACGCCAGCAAGAGCUAAAACACAUGGGCGCCAGAUAAGCUGAUGACGAUAAACGCCACGCCAGCGCCUGGAACGAAACGCCGCCCAAAAGGAAACCUAGGGGGCCUGCACAGGGGAUGCAAGCGUCAGCCGCAAGUGCAACUUCGGUGACCCACCCUGAACCUCCUCCACUUCACAAAGCGCGCCACCCGCCGACCAGAUGGCAACAAAGUGCUCCAGCUUAGCCGCCUUGAGCUGUGCGGUGAGAAGCUGAGUGGGCAGAGCCGACAGGGUUUCAGGGGUUAGCGUGGCGGCAGUGAAACGCAGCCGCAUCACCCUGCGCAGCUCGCUGACCACCUCCCGAACCACAUGCUCCGACGUCUGCUUAGCAGGCUCGCGGGACCAGUACGCACACCAGACGGCGUACAAGAAGGUGGCCCGCAAAGUGCUCCACAGCAGCGCGCCCGCCCCCCGCGGGCCUGAGGCCCACAUACCCAUGCGGUCCCCCAGCAUGAAGCCCGCGUCCGUCACUGGCGGCGCCGCUGCCUGGGGCGCAACGCAGGCCCACAGCUGCUGCAGCCACGUCCUCGCCUGCGCAUAAGCUGGACACUCCAGGAAGAUGUGCGUCAGGCUGGCCCACGCCCGCGGGCCAGGUGGCCCGCAGGCGGGGUGAGGACAGUGCGCCCCCAACCCCCCGCACCCCGUGGUCACCCGUGGACGAAUUCCCUUUCCCGCCCUGUACAGCCCGCAAGGCAGGUAAGCAUGUUGCAGCCGGUACACCAGGACCUUUGCCCCCCGACUGGCGUGGCUGUCCCACAGCCUCCGCCACGUACCCCGCAGAAGGGACGCAUCCGGGGGCGGCAUGCGAGGGUCGCCCUCCACCGCCGCCGCUGCUGCCGCCGCCGCCGUGGCAGGCCCAGUGCUAGGUCCCGCCCCUCCCGCCGCCUGCUCCUGCAGCCGCGCGGACCGCCGCGGCCCCUCACCCGACUGCUGGGACGGGGACGCAUACGACUGCAGUUCUCUCGCCGGCGUGUUCUGCAGCCCGGCUGCCGCAGAGGUGCGGUGGAGCCAGGGGUCCAGAGCCACCGGGUUAUUGUGGAAGUGCUGCGCCGCCGUGGUGGUCAGCUGCGCCGCUGCACGCUGCCACUCCGCCUCCCGCUCCGCCAGCCGCGACUGUGCCGCCGGCUGGGUCCCCGAACCCCCCGCCUUUUUUUUUUUGAGGAAUCAUCCUUACAAGGUUGAACAGGGGCAGACGCGCUGCCCCCCUGCUGCCUGAAAGCAGCCUGGUCCCCGAGACCAGAACCCUGACAGGGCAAGAAGAGAAGAAAAGAGAAGAAAAACAGAAAACAAACACCUCGAAAAACCGCCACCAACCACCCAUCCAUCCCACCCCACCCCACCCCGACCCGGCAGACAGAGCAGGAGGCUGGCCCCCCCGCCCCCCGGGAGGGGUUGCACAAAAACACCGCCAGACCUAACCCAAGCACCAACCUACACCACAGCCUAACCGCGAGAACCACCACCACCGCGCGCCAGAAAGGAAAACACCAGUGCUACCAACACUCGACCCGCCGUAACCCACCCCACCCCCACAAGUCGGUUGCUUGAGCAACACCCCAGGAGAACUGGCAGAGGAGACACAAGCAGAAAACUAAACGGGCCAGAUGUGGCGCUGACUAAUCGGGCUCCAGCCCGCUGCAAGACGCGCUGUGCAGGAAGGCCCACAGCCGCCCAGGCGCUGCGACGCCAGCCAGAGCUAUGACACAUGGGGCGCCAGAUAAGCUGAUGACGAUAAUACGCCACGCCAGCGCCUGGAAAGAAACGCCGCCCAAAAGGAAACCUAGGGGGCCUGCACAGGGGAUGCAAGCGUCAGCCGCAAGUGCAACUUCGGUGACCCACCCUGAACCUCCUCCACUUCACAAAGCGCGCCACCCGCCGUCCAGAUGGCAACAAAGUGCUCCAGCUUAGCCGCCUUGAGCUGUGCGGUGAGAAGCUGAGUGGGCAGAGCCGACAGGGUUUCAGGGGUUAGCGUGGCGGCAGUGAAACGCAGCCGCAUCACCCUGCGCAGCUCGCUGACCACCUCCCGAACCACAUGCUCCGACGUCUGCUUAGCAGGCUCGCGGGACCAGUACGCACACCAGACGGCGUACAAGAAGGUGGCCCGCAAAGUGCUCCACAGCAGCGCGCCCGCCCCCCGCGGGCCUGAGGCCCACAUACCCAUGCGGUCCCCCAGCAUGAAGCCCGCGUCCGUCACUGGCGGCGCCGCUGCCUGGGGCGCAACGCAGGCCCACAGCUGCUGCAGCCACGUCCUCGCCUGCGCAUAAGCUGGACACUCCAGGAAGAUGUGCGUCAGGCUGGCCCACGCCCGCGGGCCAGGUGGCCCGCAGGCGGGGUGAGGACAGUGCGCCCCCAAUCCCCCGCACCCCGUGGUCACCCGUGGACGAAUGCCCUUGCCCGCCCUGUACAGCCCACAAGGCAGGUAAGCAUGUUGCAGCCGGUACACCAGCACCUUUGCCCCCCGACUAGCGUGGCUGUCCCACAGCCUCCGCCACGUACCCCGCAGAAGGGACGCAUCCGGGGGCGGCAUGCGAGGGUCGCCCUCCACCGCCGCCGCUGCUGCCGCCGCCGCCGUGGCAGGCCCCGUGCUAGGCCCCGCCCCGCCCGCCGCCUGCUCCUGCAGCCGCGCGGAACGCCGCGGCCCCUCACCCGACUGCUGGGACGGGGACGCAUACGACUGCAGUGUUCUCGCCGGCGUGUUCUGCUGCCCGGCUGCCGCGGAGGUGCGGUGGAGCCAGGGGUCCAGAGCCACCGGGUUAUUGUGGAAGUGCUGCGCCGCCGUGGUGGUCAGCUGCGCCGCUGCACGCUGCCACUCCGCCUCCCGCUCCGCCAGCCGCGACUGUGCCGCCGGCUGGGUCCCCGAACCCCCCGCCUGCUGUGCUGGCGCCGGGCACGGCAUGGCUGCGGGGCGGGCCGGAGCCAGAGGGGCGGCCGGGUUGGCCGCGGUGAUGGCCCGCCGCACGUCCCGCACCGUGUAGUCCGCCAAGCUGACACCCGCAAUCCGGCAGUGCUCCGGGUGCACCACCACCCCAGCCUCCGGCGCCAGGAAGUACGGCGCCCGAGGCCACGCCCCUGCCCGUUCCCCUGGUGAUGCUGCAUCGUACGCCGCCCGCUCUUCAAAGGUCCACAGGUGCCGCGGCUUGCGGUGCUGCAGCACACAGGCAGGCUGCCACGCCCCAUCCACUGCCGGGGGCAGCACGCCAGGCCCAGGCUCCAAGAGCCGCCCCGUGUAGUGGACGUAGGACACAGCCCCCGCAGCGUUAGCCACCCACAGCUGGUCCAGGCUAACCCGCCACUGUGGCGGCGCCGCUGGCGGCUGAGUGGCUGGCUGCGGCGGAUGCUGUUCCACGCCCGCGCUCCGCACGUGGCCGACCGCGGCCGCCAGCCGGGCAGGCAGCCCCGCUGGCGCCGGCGCGUCGCUGUACACCCACGCCCACGUGGUGGCGGAGUCCGGGCGCACAUGAGUAAGCAGCCUGCUGUGCUGGCGCCGGGCACGGCAUGGCUGCGGGGCGGGCCGGAGCUGGAGGUGCGGCCGGGUUGGCCGCGGUGAUGGCCCGCCGCACGUCCCGCACCGUGUAGUCCGCCAAGCUGACACCCGCAAUCCGGCAGUGCUCCGGGUGCACCACCACCCCAGCCUCCGGCGCCAGGAAAUACGGCGCCCGAGGCCACGACCCCGCCCGGUCCCCUGGUGAUGCUGCAUCGUACGCCGCCCGCUCUUCAAAGGUCCACAGGUGCCGCGGCUUGCGAUGCUGCAGCACACAGGCAGGCUGCCACGCCCCAUCCACCGCCGGGGGCAGCACGCCAGGCCCAGGCUCCAAGAGCCGCCCCGUGUAGUGGACGUAGGACACAGCCCCCGCAGUGUUAGCCACCCACAGCUGGUCCAGGCUAACCCGCCACUGCGGCGGCGCCGCUGGCGGCUGAGUGGCUGGCUGCGGUGGGUGCUGUUCCACGCCCGCGCUCCGCACGUGGCCGACCGCGGCCGCCAGCCGGGCAGGCAGCCCCGCUGGCGCCGGCGCGUCGCUGUACACCCACGCCCACGUGGUGGCGGAGUCCGGGCGCACAUGAGUAAGCAGCGCCCGGGUGAGCAUCUUCCAGGGUUGCCGGCCUGGCUGGGCAAGGAGGGCGAAGGUCUUAGCUUGCAGGGCAGACAGGAACGCAGGCAGGUCGACGUGGUUGACACCCCCAUUCUUGUACGUCAGACAGGCCGUUUCCCGCUUUGGCAGCAGGAGCGGGUUCCCGUGCGACACCAGGCUGGCGUCCUCAGCGUGCAUGGAGCGCGCAGCAAAGUGGUCCACCAGAUCGGUGAGUUCCUUCAGCUGCGCAGGCGACGGGUUGAGCAAGCUGAAGUGGUAGGCCAGCUUCGCCGCCAGCACCUGCUUCGCAAUGUGCACACGGCCAACCAGAGUCAGAGACAGGGCAGCCCACAGACGCGCCACAAACGCCAUGCCGCGAGCCCGCCGGGUGUACAAGUCAGCUGCAGCCGCAUCAGAGUCCCACGACAGGGGCACACCCAGGUGCGUCACGGCGCCAGUGGUAAACGGCACCCCCGUGUGUGGGCAAGGGCCCGUCAGGUGCGCAAACCUGCCAAGGCCCAUGGCCUUGCUCUUGUCCGGAUGGACACGGGCGUUGGACGCGCGGCAGAACAGCUGUACUGCCGCCAUCAGGACCGGCCCGUCCACCGCCGGGUCGCGUGCCGUGAGGGUCGUGUCGUCAGCGUGGUGGGCAGCCGGUGGCGCCUGCUCGCCGCUGGGUAACAGGGGCGUGCGCAGUGCCCCUUGCUCCACCUGCCGCCGCAGAAAGGACGUAAGUGGCUGCAUCUGGAUAAUCCACAGGGGUGGUGAGGCGGUGCUGCCCUGCGGCAAGCCGUUCAGCACUGGGAAGGCGUCAGAGAGCAUCCCGUUCACACACACGCGGGCAGAGCCGUUGGCAGUGAGCAGGCUGCGAGCAGGCCAUCGCCUUCCACUACAGCCUGGCGGGCCUGCCCAACCCAGCCGCAGCGGAAAGCUGCGCAAACGUGCGCGCCACCGCGGCCCGGCGGCUGCAGGUGCAGCGCUUGCAUCGGGAGGCCAUGUCCGCCGCCGACCUGGCGGCGGUCCUGUGCGCCCACGCCGGGCCCGGCGCCCCGCUGCUGCGCCUCAUGAUGGCCACGACCGUGGCCCUCAUGUUCUACGGUUUCCUGCGGUUUGACGACAUGGCGGAGGUCAGCGUUCACGCCGACCUGCUGCUCAUCACGCCCCGCCACAUGGCCAUUUUCAUCCCCCGGUCCAAGACCGACGUGGCCAUGGACGGUCAGUGGGUGCACAUCGCCCGGCUGCCCCACCUAGGCGGUUUCUGCCCCGUGGCGCUCACGGAGCGGCUGCUGCGCCAAGGCGCCUACCGCCGCCUUCCGGCGGCGGCCGAUGAGGACGUCGGGCCGCUGCUCCGUACGGUGCAGUACACGGCCGCCGGCGGCCGGCUGCAGCGCCUGGUGGGCACGCGGGCUUCGCCGGUGUUCAGCAUGUCUUACGGCGCUUUCCGCUCCAACUUCCUGGCCCGCCUGCGGGAGGCGGGCGUCUCGGGCAACAUCAAGCCGCACUCGAUGCGCAUUGGUGGCAACAGCGCCGCGGCUGACGCGGGAGUUCCGGCGUCCCUGCGGCAGGUGCACGGCCGCUGGAAGCCCGCCACUAUGGUCGGUCACUACACACGCCCCACCCUCGAGGACACCCUCGGUGUCACCCGCGCUAUGGGCCUCGCUGGAGGAUCGCUCGGCCCUUCCGGCGCCGGCGCCUCCGGCAUCCGUGCUGUUGCCUCGGUGUCGCCGCCGGUUCGCGCGGCCGCCGGCCCUCGGCCCGCCGCCGUGGUUUUGGCGGCGCCGCCGGCUGGCGGCUUGGCCGCUGGCGCGGUGGCGCCUUUGGCGGCGCCCCGGGCGCUGGUGCUUCGUGGCGUGGGCCGCUCGUCUCGCCGGGGCGUCACGCGUGGCGUGCGGGUUGCUCAUGGUGUUCGGCUCGCCGUGUCGGGCCGUCGGCGUUCGAGUUAGCUUGUUGGCUGCGCUUUGGUUGCGGUGGCUCCGUUCUGAGGCUGUGUUGUUGUUUGCUGCUGUUCGGUUUUGUUGCUCGGGUGUGGCGUGUGUUGUCGCGGCGUUCGCCCGCCUUGCGCCGUCUCUGGUCGUCGGGCCUGUGUGCUGCUUUCGGUUCGGUUGUCUUUUGCUUUUCUGUGUUGCUUUCGUUCCGGCGCGUCGGCGUCGCGCGGGCGCUCUUGCGCCCUGGGCUUGUGUGUGUUGGCUCUCGCCGCUUGUAAGGCCCUCCUCCAUUACUUUACUCUCUUCUCUUGCUAUUCUUGCAUCCUCUCUUCCUUCUGCACAGCUUUGAAACAGUCGACGUCAUUUCUCUCGCGCUGUUUGACUUGCUUCCUUUUGUUUUAGGCUUCUUAAGGCCUACGAACCACUGUGAAGCAGUUUGCAUUUGUGGGCGUCCUCGUUUUUCGUCAGUCCACUUUGCAGCUGUAGCGCGACACUCCCUCUCCAGCGCCCUUCAGCCUAUGCCGGCUUGUGCUUUGGAACUCGACACUGCUAUGGAAUAGGAUUCUGGCGGUUCAGGAGCGUCGCCGUGGAGUUGGCGACAUUUCGCUUGUCGGCAUUUUAACAUCUCGGCGAGCACCACACUUCACCAGCUUGGAGCCGGCGGCGUAUCAACCUUUGUGGUUGGUCAUUUGCAUCCGCGCGUGCAGCAGGGUGCUUUGGGUGUGGCGGUCGGGGGAGCCCUGCAGCACUUGGCUGUUUUUUUGGGGUGUGGCUCGUCUUCGUGCCCUUGUUGCCUGGUGCCUGGUUGCCUGGCGCCCGCCCUGCUGUGAUGCCCUGUGAGUGCUGAUCCUGGGCAGCUAUGCAGUUGCUGGGUGAUCCUGGUCGGUUCCGCCUGGUGUCUCAGCGCAGCCAAGACACCAGGGGCCAACGCCAGCCAUACAGCACACCCGCUCACGGCGCGGCCACAGCAGCACAUGCCGUGCCGUGUGGGGGGCCUGCAUUUGGGCAUCGCCGCCCACUGCCAGACUUGGCAGCGGACAGCACCCCUGCAGGUGGGGGCAACACUGCCAGCCCGUUCUUCAGCCCCGGGCUGCAGCUCCACCUUGCCCUGUCUAUGCAUAGCCUGGCGGACGGCGUGCAGGACCUGACGACUCAGCCCCAGGGCCCCAGCCUGCCUACCUACCCAGUCCUUCUGGUGGGUGCCACCACGGGGCUCCCAGAGGGCGAGCAGCUGUCCUCAGCCGGCGUCCGGGAAGUGACCAGUGCUGCCCUGUCAGUGCUGGACACCAUGUGCCGGCAGGGCAACCAGCCGCAGCUCUUGCAGGGCCACUCUCUGCACAGCACAGGCCGCCCCUCCCGCACGUUUGCGGGGCUGGCCUUCAGCCGGCGCGCGACCAGCGCCAGCAAAGCAGCCUUCACAGCGGAGCUCAUGCGCAAGUCGCCGCUGGCGGUACCGCUCCAGCGUGGUCAGGCUGUCCUCACGGUUCACGUGCCAGUGGACACCCGGCCCAUCAUUCCGGGCACCUACACCGUCACGGUCAAGAUGGUAGGGGGCCCUGUGUGGGGGGCUUUCCGCGGUCGCACCGAUUUGGGGCUGCAGGCUGGUGGCUAUCCCACCACCUCGGACCCCUCGAACCUGGCGUGUGCUUAUGUGGUCUCAGAGCAGUGCGCCAAAUCGGUGGGCCCCAAGGGGGAGCCCCAGGCCCCCGCAGGCCAGGGCAUCACCAACCACAUCUUUGCCUGUGUACGGGGCCCAGUCUGGGACCCGCAGCUCUCUCACCUGCAUUGUGCCAAGUUUGAGAUGCCAGGUGAGGAGCCCAUGCAGGUGGAGGUCCGUGGCGCCCCCCAGGCGGCUGGGACGGCCACGACAGCUGCGGCAGGCAGCCUUGCUCAGGCUGCAGCCGGGGUCGCCGACCUGGGAGGCAACACCUUGGGUGUGGUGAGGCCCGCGGCUGCCAUGGCGACCGCAGCGGACAUCGUUGACCACGUGGGGGACGUGCAGAUGCAGGAGGCGGCGGGUUUGGGUGACGCGGCGGCUGCAGCUGGUGGCGCCAGCGGGCCACACAGCAGGGCCCCGCCCCCGCUGCCAGUUCUGGUGGCGGGGGGAAGCAACCGUGCUGCUGCGGCUGCCCUGCGGGCCGCACUGCAGCAGCAGCCCUCUUCGCAGCAGCGGGUGACCGCGGGAGGGCUUAGCGGGGUCCAGCCGGCGGCAGGCGUGGGGGGGCCGCCGGCAGCCAGGCCUCGCCCUGCCGGUGCUGGGCCGGCUGGCGUGCAGCAGCAGCCCAGUGGCGCUCCCGCGCCACGGCCGCCCUUGGAUCAGCAGGCAGCCGCUGGGCAGGAUCAGGAGCAGACCGCUGUGAUGCAGCGGUACUUGGCCGAGCUGGCGGACCUCAAUCUCCAGCAGAAACGGCGGUUACAGCAACAGCAGCAGCAGGAGCUGCAGCGCCAGGGGCAGUCGCCCAGGCCCCGGACCGGCUCCCAGGUUGUGGUCCUGGCCACGCGGGGGGGGCAGGACGGGGCGGGCGGUUGCCCUGGCGUGGCGGCGUCACGGCGUGGGCAACGUGUUGACAUAGUUGACCACAUGGGGGACGUGCAGAUGCAGGAGGCGGCGGGUGUGGGUGACACAGCGGCUGCCGCUGGUGGCGCCAGCGGACCACCCGCCGUGGCCUCGCCCUCGCUGCCAGCUCUGGUGGCGGGGGGAAGCACCCAUGCUGCUGCGGCUCCCCUGAGGGCCGAGCGACAGCAGCAGCCCUCUUCACAGCAGCGGGUGGCAGCGGGAGGGCUUAGCGGGGGGCAGCCGUCGGCAGGCGUGGGGGGGCCACCGGCGGUCAGGCGUCGUACUGCCGGUGCUGGGUCGGCUGGCGCGCAGCAGCAGCCCAGUGGGGCUCCCGCGUCACAGCCGCCCUUUGAUCAGCGGGCAGCCGCCAGGCAGGAUCAGGAGCAGACCGCUGUGAUGCAGCGGUACUUGGCCUACAUGGCGGACCUCCAUCUCCAGCAGCAACGGCGGGUACAGCAACAGCAGCAGCAGGAGCAGCAGCGCCAGGUGCAGCCGCCCAGGCCCCGGACCGGCUCCCGGUUUGCGGUCCUGGCCACGCUGGGGGGACAGGACGGCGUGGGUGAUGGCGCUGCCACGGCGGCGUCUGGGCGUGGGCGACGGGCGCAACCAGCCGUGCACGCACCGCCGCCGCCGCCACAGCAACAGCCCCGCUCUAAAGGGCGCGGUGGCCCCGCCCAGCUCCCGCAGCAGAGGGCAGGGCGCUUGGGCGGCGGGCUGCCUCCCCCGCAGGACGGUGCUAGCUCGCCACCGCACGUGCCCACUGGGCGGCCGGCCGGGGGACAGCAGGAUGGUGGGGGCAGCGGGUCGGGGCGCCAGGGUGGAGGAGCGGGGCAGGCAGUGCCUCAGCCGCCGCCCCAGGCGCGGCCGCCACUGCAGACGUUACAACCGGCGGGUGGUGGUAAGGGCAGGGGCAGGGGCCUGGGCGCGCCGGCUGGGGCUUCGGCCGACAUGGCUGGGCGCGCGGGUGGGGGUGCGGGCAGUGAGGCGGAGUACGGGGCCGUUUGCCUGACCCGGGACGCAUGUGUUGCCAUCGGCUCUGACCUCGUGACGCACCAGAACCGCUGCGCAGAUGUGCAGGGGUUUGAGUGGGCGCAGCUGGGCCACGACACGCUUGGUGGCCGCCUCCUCGCCUACCUCCGUGACCAGGGCGCCACCGUACCGGACUGGGCCGUCUGCCGCGUGCCGGCCGGCCGUACCGCCGUCCUGGCACAGCUGCGCGACGAGUUCACUGGCUGGUGGCGCCUGUACUCAGCCCAGCCUGCAGAUACACCCCUGCCUUCCGACGUGACGGAGCAGCUGGAUGACGCCGCGCAGCAGGUGCAGACGGCCUACAUGGACUACGUGCUCCUAGACGCCCGCACCCUGCGGUCCGCUAAGCGUGGGCCGGCGGACCCCGGCGGGGCCAGCGGGCCCAGCCGCCGGCAACGCCAGCACCGCAGCCGCAGUACCUCCAGCCUCAUGAGCCUGGGCAGCGCUCCAUUGCACCCCGGCGGCGCCAGCUCAGGUGCCGUUAGCAUGAGCACCAGCGGCGGCGGCGCGCCCCCCAGCCAGGGUGGCGGCCGCCGCGGCAAACGCCACAGCAGCAACAGCAACCGCAACCGCCACGGCGCUGCCGUGGCCGGCGGGGGCUCAUAAUGCGGCCACCAGUGGGAGCGGCGAACCUUCGGCUGCUGACAGUGAAUGUCAACGGCCUGGGCUCGCCGUUGAAGGCGCGGGCGCUGGUCUCGCACCUUCAGCAAGUUGGGGCGGAUGUGGCGAUGGUGCAGGAGACCCACGCUACUGACACGACGGCGCUGGAGUCUUGCCUUCGUGCCGCGCAGGGGGCGUGCCUUCCGUGGCGCCACUGCCUCGCUGCCAGCCCGGCAGCGUCGCCCCGCUCCUGUGGGACGGCUAUCCUGGCGCGGAGUCAGCUGUCCCUUCCAGGCUGCGUACUGCAGCCGCCGUCAACGGAUGCGGCGGGCCGUGUGGUAUGUUGGGAUUGGGACGUGGGUCACCUGCGCCUGCGCUUUGUGUGUGUGUAUGCGCCCACGGCCGUGGCGGACAAGCCUGCUUUCUUUGCCGGGCUGCAUCCCCACCUGGCCACGGACAGGGUGCUUGUUGUCGGUGGGGACUGGAACUGUGUCACCGAUGCCAGUCAGGAGGCGGCCCCUAGCCCGUCACGUGCUGCAGGUGCCCCGCAACUUGCCAGCCUCCUCGCCCAGUUCAGUCUGGUGGACCCUUGGGCGAGCAAGCGUGGCGGCGCCAAGGGCUACACGCAUCCGGCCACACCCAAGCCGGCCACUCCCGCACGCCUGGAUCGGUGGUAUGUCAGUGCCACCGCAGCGCCGUGGGUGGUGGAUGUCGCUCGCACGUACGGGGCGCCUGGGGACCACAACGGUGUGCUGCUCACCCUGUCCUUGCCCGACCUGCCACAUGCGCACCGGGAGCAGUGGCGCUUCCCCACCUACCUGCUGUUUCACCCCUCGCUGCGUUUGGAGCUCAAGCAGCGCUUGGAGGCGCACGUUGCCGCAAAUCCCGUGGCCAGUACAGGUGACGGCGCUUGCACGCAAUGGGAGGCGGACAAGUUCUUCUUGCGGGAGGCCGCCACCAGCAUCCACCGUCGGCAUGCACGCCAGACCCGGGACGGGCUGCAUGGGGUGGUGCUGGCCGCAGACGCGGCCGCUGCCCUGGCCGACCGGCCGGGUGCCAGCGCCACGCAGCGUCAGGCUGCGGCCAUGGCCAACUUGGCGGUGCGGGAGGAGCGGGCAGCUGCCGCAGCAGCCAGCCACAAUGCCCGCGCUGCACUGAUGGAGGAGCAUGGGGAGCGGGGCACACGCUGGUUCCAUCGGCAGGCUGACGAGCCAGCAGCCGGCGCGCAGGAGCCCAUCACGCACUUGAAGGUGCCGGGGCAACCGGCGCCUGUGGCGCUCACGGGGCCGGGCACGCGCAACACUGUCUCCGCAGCCGCCGCAGCCAUGUACAGCAGCACCAGCCCCACCGGCCUGUUCCGCGUGCAGCCUGUCUGUACGGUGUCGCAGCAACAGCUUCUGGAGGCCAUUGACCGCAAGGUUCCGGCGGAUCUGCAGGCCGCCGCAGAGGGGUCCGGUGACGGCGCCCUCAGUGAUGCGGAGCUGAUGGCAGCGCUGGCUGGCUCCGCCAAUGGUAAAGCGCCUGGGUCGGACGGGGUCCCGUACGAGGUGUACAAGGUUUUCUGGGCGCUGCUGGGUCCGCGCUUGUGUGCUGCUGCUGCCGCUGCCUUUGCUGCCGCUGCAGACGCCCACGAUGGCGGUGAAAUGGCGGCGGCGCUGCCCGCCUCCUGGCGGGAGGGCAUCAUAACCCUCAUCUACAAGGGCAAAAGCCUGGACCGCGCCGAGCUGGCGUCCUACCGGCCCAUCACGCUGCUCAACUGCGACUUCAAGAUGGUGUCCAAGGCCGUCAGCGCCCGCCUGCAGCCCGCCCUGGAUGCAGUUGUGGAUGAGCUGCAGACCGCGUUCAUCACCGGCCGCUGGAUUGGAGACAAUGCGCUGUACCUCCAAGGCCUGAUCGAAUGGAUGCGCCUGGACGUGGGCGCGGACGGCACGCCACGGCAGGGUGGUGCGCUGUACUUCUUGGACAUUGAAAAGGCGUAUGACCGGGUGCACCGACAGUGGCUGUAUGCGUCCGCGGAGGGACUGGGGUUUGGGCCGCGCAUGCUACGCUGGAUCCGCCUGCUCACUGCCAACGGCUCUGCCCGCGUGUGUGUGAACGGGAUGCUCUCUGACGCCUUCCCAGUGCUGAACGGCUUGCCGCAGGGCAGCACCGCCUCACCACCCCUGUGGGUCAUCCAGAUGCAGCCACUGACGUCCUUUCUGCGGCGGCAGGUGGAGCAAGGGGCACUGCGCACGCCCCUGUUACCCAGCGGCGAGCAGGCGCCACCGGCUGCCCACCACGCUGACGACACGACCCUCACGGCGCGCGACCCGGCGGUGGACGGGCCGGUCCUGAUGGCGGCAGUACAGCUGUUCUGCCGCGCGUCCAACGCCCGUGUCCAUCCGGACAAGAGCAAGGCCAUGGGCCUUGGCAGGUUUGCGCACCUGACGGGCCCUUGCCCACACACGGGGGUGCCGUUUACCACUGGCGCCGUGACGCACCUGGGUGUGCCUCUGUCGUGCGACUCUGUUGCAGCUGCAGCUGACCUGUACACCCGGCGGGCUCGCGGUAUGGCGUUUGUGGCGCGUCUGUGGGCUGCCCUGUCUCUGACUCUCGUUGGCCGUGUGCACAUUGCGAAGCAGGUGCUGGCGGCGAAGCUGGCCUACCACUUCAGCUUCCUCAACCCGUCGCCUGCGCAGCUGAAGGAACUCACCGACCUGGUGGACCACUUUGCUGCGCGCUCCAUGCACGCUGAGGACGCCAGCCUGGUGUCGCACGGGAACCCGCUCCUGCUGCCAAAGCGGGAAACGGCAUGUCUGACGUACAAGGACGGGGGUGUCAACCAUGUCGACCUGCCUGCGUUCCUGUCUGCCCUGCAAGCUAAGACUUUCGCCCUCCUUGCCCAGCCAGGCCGGCAACCCUGGAAGAUGCUCACCCGGGCGCUGCUUACCCAUGUGCGCCCGGACUCAGCCACCACGUGGGCGUGGGUGUACAGCGACGCGCCAGCGCCAGCGGGGCUGCCUGCCCGGCUGGCGGCCGCGGUCGGCCACGUGCGGAGCGCGGGUGUGGAACAGCAUCCGCCGCAGCCAGCCACUCAGCCGCCAGCGGCGCCGCCACAGUGGCGGGUUAGCCUGGACCAGCUGUGGGUGGCUAACGCUGCGGGGGCUGUGUCCUACGUCCACUACACGGGGCGGCUCUUGGAGCCUGGGCCUGGCGUGCUGCCCCCGGCGGUGGAUGGGGCGUGGCAGCCUGCCUGUGUGCUGCAGCAUCGCAAGCCGCGGCACCUGUGGACCUUUGAAGAGCGGGCGGCGUACGAUGCAGCAUCACCAGGGGAACGGGCGGGGGCGUGGCCUCGGGCGCCGUACUUCCUGGCGCCGGAGGCUGGGGUGGUGGUGCACCCGGAGCACUGCCGGAUUGCGGGUGUCAGCUUGGCGGACUACACGGUGCGGGACGUGCGGCGGGCCAUCACCGCGGCUAACCCGGCCGCACCUCCGGCUCCGGCCCGCCCUGCAGCCAUGCCGUGCCCAGCGCCAGCACAGCAGGCGGGGGGUUCGGGGACCCAGCCGGCGGCACAGUCGCGGCUGGUGGAGCGGGAGGCGGAGUGGCAGCGUGCAGCGGCGCAGCUGACCACCACGGCGGCGCAGCAUUUCCACAAUAACCCGGUGGCUCUGGACCCCUGGCUCCACCGCACCUCUGCGGCAGCCGCGCUGCAGAACACGCCGGCGAGAGAACUGCAGUCGUAUGCGUCCCCGUCCCAGCAGUCGGGUGAGGGGCCGCGGCGGUCCGCGCGGCUGCAGGAGCAGGCGGCGGGCGGGGCGGGGCCUAGCACGGGGCCUGCCACGGCGGCGGCGGCAGCAGCGGCGGCGGUGGAGGGCGACCCUCGCAUGCCGCCCCCGGAUGCGUCCCUUCUGCGGGGUACGUGGCGGAGGCUGUGGGACAGCCACGCCAGUCGGGGGGCAAAGGUGCUUGUGUACCGGCUGCAACAUGCUUACCUGCCUUGCGGGCUGUACAAGGCGGGCAAGGGCAUUCGGCCACGGGUGACCACGGGGUGCGGGGGGUUGGGGGCGCACUGUCCUCACCCCGCCUGCGGGCCACCUGGCCCGCGGGCGUGGGCCAGCCUGACACACAUCUUCCUGGAGUGUCCAGCUUAUGCGCAGGCGAGGAAGUGGCUGCAGCAGCUGUGGGCCUGCGUUGCGCCCCAGGCAGCGGCGCCGCCAGUGACGGACGCGGGCUUCAUGCUGGGGGACCGCAUGGGUAUGUGGGCCUCAGGCCCGCGGGGGGCGGGCGCGCUGCUGUGGAGCACUUUGCGGGCCACCUUCUUGUACGCCGUCUGGUGUGCGUACUGGUCCCGUGAGCCUGCUAAGCAGACGUCGGAGCAUGUGGUUCGGGAGGUGGUCAGCGAGCUGCGCAGGGUGAUGCAGCUGCGUUUCACUGCCGCCACGCUAACCCCUGAAACCCUGUCGGCUCUGCCCACACAGCUUCUCACCGCGCAGCUCAAGGCUGCUAAGCUGGAGCACUUUGUUGCCAUCUGGUCGGCGGGUGGCGCGCUUUGUGAAGUGGAGGAGGUUCAGGGUGGGUCACCGAAGUUGAACUUGCGGCUGACGCUUGCAUCACCUGUGCAGGCCCCCUAGGUUUCCUUUUGGGCGGCGGUUCUUUCCAUGCGCUGGCGUGGCGUUUUAUCAUCAUCAGCUUGUCUGGCGCCCAUGAGUACUAGCUCUGGCUGGAGUGGCAGCGCCUGGGCGGCUGUGGGACUUCCUGCACAGCGCGUCUUGCAGCGGACUGGAGCCCACUUAGUCAGCGCCACAUCUGGCCCGUUUAGUUUUCUGCUUGUGUCUCCUCUGCCGGUUCUCCUGGGGUGUUGCUUAAGCAACCGACUUGUGGGGGUGGGGUGGGUUUUGGGCGGGGCGAGUGCGUAGCGCUGGUGUUUUCUUUUCUGGCGCGCAGUGGUGGUGGUUCUUGCGGUUGGCUGUGGUGUAGGUUGGUGCUUGGGUUAGGUCUGGCGGUGUUUUUGUGCAACCCCUCCCGGGGGGCGGGGGGGCCAGCCUCCUGCUCUGUCUGCCGGGUCGGGGUGGGGUGGGGUGGGAUGGUUUGGGGUGUUUGGUGGCGGUUUUCGAGGUGUUUGCUUUCUGUUUUCUUCUCUCUUCUUCUCUUCUUGCCCUGUCAGGGUUCUGGUCUCGGGGACCAGGCUGCUUUCUGGCAGCAGGGGGGCAGCGCGUCUGCCCCUGUUCAACCUUGUAAGGAUGAUUCCUCAAAAAAAAAAAAAAAGCAGGCGGAUCCAGCGCAGCAUGCGCGGCCCAAACCCAAGUCCCUCCGCGGACGCAUACAGCCACUGCCGGUGCACCCGGUCAUACGCCUUUUCAAUGUCCAAGAAGUACAGCGCACCACCCUGCCGUGGCGUGCCAUCCGCGCCCACGUCCAGGCGCAUCCAUUCGAUCAGGCCUUGGAGGUACAGCGCGUUGUCUCCAAUCCAGCGGCCGGUGAUGAACGCAGUCUGCAGCUCAUCCACAACUGCAUCCAGGGCGGGCUGCAGGCGGGCGCUGACGGCCUUGGACACCAUCUUGAAGUCGCAGUUGAGCAGCGUGAUGGGCCGGUAGGACGCCAGCUCGGCGCGGUCCAGGCUUUUGCCCUUGUAGAUGAGCGUAAUGAUGCCCUCCCGCCAGGAAGCAGGCAGCGCCGCCGCCAUUUCGCCGCCAUCGUGGGCGUCUGCAGCGGCAGCAAAGGCAGCGGCAGCAGCAGCACACAAGCGCGGGCCCAGCAGUGCCCAGAAUACCUUGUACACCUCGUACGGGACCCCGUCCGACCCAGGUGCUUUACCAUUGGCGGAGCCAGCCAGCGCUGCCAUCAGCUCGGCAUCACUGAGGGCGCCGUCACCGGACCCCUCUGCGGCGGCGUUCAGAUCCGCCGGAACCUUGCGGUCAAUGGCUGCCAGAAGCUGUUGCUGCGACGCCGUACAGACCGGCUGCACGCGGAACAGGCCGGUGGGGCUGGUGCUGCUGUACAUGGCUGCGGCGGCUGCUGAGACAGUGUUGCGCGUGCCCGGCCCCGUGAGCGCCACAGGCGCCGGUUGCCCUGGCACCUUCAAGUGCGUGAUGGGCUCCUGCGCGCCGGCUGCUGGCUCGUCAGCCUGCCGAUGGAACCAGCGCGUGCCCCGCUCCCCAUGCUCCUCCAUCAGUGCAGCGCGGGCAUUGUGGCUGGCCGCUGCGGCAGCUGCCCGCUCCUCCCGCACCGCCAAGUUGGCCAUGGCCGCAGCCUGACGCUGCGCGGCGCUGGCACCCGGCCGGUCGGCCAGGGCAGCGGCCGUGUCUGCGGCCAGCACCACGCCAUGCAGCCCAUCCCGGGUCUGGCGUGCAUGCCGACGGUGGAUGCUGGUGGCGGCCUCCCGCAAGAAGAACUUGUCCGCCUCCCAUUGCGUGCAAGCGCCGUCACCUGUACUGGCCACGGGAUUGGCGGCAACGUGCGCCUCCAAGCGCUGCUCGAGCUCCAAACGCAGCGAGGGGUGAAACAGCAGGUAUGUGGGGAAGCGCCACUGCUCCCGGUGCGCAUGUGGCAGGUCGGGCAAGGACAGGGUGAGCAGCACACCGUUGUGGUCCCCAGGCGCCCCAUACGUGCGAGCGACAUCCACCACCCACGGCGCCGCGGUGGCACUGACAUACCACCGAUCCAGGCGUGCAGGAGUGGCCGGCUUGGGCGUGGCCGGAUGCGUGUAGCCCUUGGCGCCGCCACGCUUGCUCGCCCAAGGGUCCACCAGACUGAACUGGGCGAGGAGGCUGGCAAGUUGCGGGGCACCUGCAGCACGUGACGGGCUAGGGGCCGCCUCCUGACCGGCAUCGGUGACACAGUUCCAGUCCCCACCGACAACAAGCACCCUGUCCGUGGCCAGGUGGGGAUGCAGCCCGGCAAAGAAAGCAGGCUUGUCCGCCACGGCCGUGGGCGCAUACACACACACGAAGCGCAGGCGCAAGUGACCCACGUCCCAAUCCCAACAUACCACACGGCCCGCCGCAUCCGUUGACGGCGGCUGCAGUACGCAGCCUGGAAGGGACAGCCGACUCCGCGCCAGGAUAGCCGCCCACAAAGCUUCUCACCGCACAGCUCAAGGCGGCUAAGCUGGAGCAGUUUGUUGCCAUCUGGACGGCGGGUGGCGCGCUUUGUGAAGUGGAGGAGGUUCAGGGUGGGUCACCGAAGUUGCACUUGCGGCUGACGCUUGCAUCACCUGUGCAGGCCCCCUAGAUUUCCUUCUGGGCAGCAUUUCUUUCCAGGCGCUGGCGUGGCGUAGUAUCGUCAUCAGCUUGUCUGGCGCCCAUGAGUACUAGCUCUGGCUGGAUUGGCAGCGCCUGGGCGGCUGUGGGACUUCCUGCACAGCGCGUCUUGCAGCGGACUGGAGCCCGCUUAGUCAGCGCCACCACCGGCUCCGGCCCGCCCUGCAGCCAUGCCGUGCCCGGCGCCAGCACAGCAGGCGGGGGGUUCAGGGACCCAGCCGGCGGCACAGUCGCGGCUGGUGGAGCGGGAGGCGGAGUGGCAGCGUGCAGCGGCGCAGCUGACCACCACGGCGGCGCAGCAUUUCCACAAUAACCCGGUGGCUCUGGACCCCUGGCUCCACCGCACCUCUGCGGCAGCCGGGCUGCAGAACACGCCAGCGAGAGAACUGCAGUCGUAUGCGUCCCCGUCCCAGCAGUCGGGUGAGGGGCCGCGGCGGUCCGCGCGGCUGCAGGAGCAGGCGGCGGGCGGGGCGGGGCCUAGCACGGGGCCUGCCACGGCGGCGGCGGCAGCAGCGGCGGCAGUGGAGGGCGACCCUCGCAUGCCGCCCCCGGAUGCGUCCCUUCUGCGGGGUACGUGGCGGAGGCUGUGGGACAGCCACGCCAGUCGGGGGGCAAAGGUACUUGUGUACCGGCUGCAACAUGCUUACCUGCCUUGCGGGCUGUACAGGGCGGGCAAGGGAAUUCGUCCACGGGUGACCACGGGGUGCGGGGGGUUGGGGGCGCACUGUCCUCACCCCGCUUGCGGGCCACCUGGCCCGCGGGCGUGGGCCAGCCUGACGCACAUCUUCCUGGAGUGUCCAGCUUAUGCGCAGGCGAGGACGUGGCUGCAGCAGCUGUGGGCCUGUGUUGCGCCCCAGGCAGCGGCGCCGCCAGUGACGGACGCGGGCUUCAUGCUGGGGGACCGCAUGGGUAUGUGGGCCUCAGGCCCGCGGGGGGCGGGAGCGCUGCUGUGGAGCACUUUGCGGGCCACCUUCUUGUACGCCGUCUGGUGUGCGUACUGGUCCCGCGAGCCUGCUAAACAGACGUCGGAGCAUGUGGUUCGGGAGGUGGUCAGCGAGCUGCGCAGGGUGAUGCGGCUGCGUUUCACUGCCGCCACGCUAACCCCUGAAACCCUGUCGGCUCUGCCCACACAGCUUCUCACCGCACAGCUCAAGGCGGCUAAGCUGGAGCAGUUUGUUGCCAUCUGGACGGCGGGUGGCGCGCUUUGUGAAGUGGAGGAGGUUCAGGGUGGGUCACCGAAGUUGCACUUGCGGCUGACGCUUGCAUCACCUGUGCAGGCCCCCUAGAUUUCCUUCUGGGCAGCAUUUCUUUCCAGGCGCUGGCGUGGCGUAGUAUCGUCAUCAGCUUGUCUGGCGCCCAUGAGUACUAGCUCUGGCUGGAGUGGCAGCGCCUGGGCGGCUGUGGGACUUCCUGCACAGCGCGUCUUGCAGCGGACUGGAGUACGCUUAGUCAGCGCCACAUCUGGCCCGUUUAGUUUUCUGCUUGUGUCUCCUCUGCCGGUUCUCCUGGGGUGUUGCUUAAGCAACCGACUUGUGGGGGUGGGGUGGGUUUGGGCGGGGCGAGUGCGUAGCGCUGGUGUUUCCUCUUCUGGCGCGCGGUGGUGGUGGUUCUUGCGGUUAGGCUGUGGUGUAGGUUGGUGCUUGGGUUAGGUCUGGCGGUGUUUUUGUGCAACCCCUCCCGGGGGGCGGGGGGGCCAGCCUCCUGCUCUGUCUGCCGGGUCGGGGUGGGGUGGGGUGGGAUGGAUGGCAGUUUCUCCUUGCAGCGCGAUUGUUUCCUUACGAGAUUGGUUCAAAGUUAAUCCCCUCCCAACCCUACACACCUACACCCUACAUUUACACUACACACAGCUCCGGCGGCGCCACCAAGUCGGGUCCGGUGCGGCCGGCCCAGGGCGGUCUGACACGGGAGGCCUACGCCAAGGCGGUGGCCAAGAAGGCACACCAGGCGCAGGUGCGGGUGGGGAGGGGGAGGUCGGGGUGGUGGGGAGNNNNNNNNNNNNNNNNNNNNNNNNNNNNNNNNNNNNNNNNNNNNNNNNNNNNNNNNNNNNNNNNNNNNNNNNNNNNNNNNNNNNNNNNNNNNNNNNNNNNUGGAUUGGCAGCGCCUGGGCGGCUGUGGGACUUCCUGCACAGCGCGUCUUGCAGCGGACUGGAGCCCGCUUAGUCAGCGCCACCACCGGCUCCGGCCCGCCCUGCAGCCAUGCCGUGCCCGGCGCCAGCACAGCAGGCGGGGGGUUCAGGGACCCAGCCGGCGGCACAGUCGCGGCUGGUGGAGCGGGAGGCGGAGUGGCAGCGUGCAGCGGCGCAGCUGACCACCACGGCGGCGCAGCAUUUCCACAAUAACCCGGUGGCUCUGGACCCCUGGCUUCACCGCACCUCUGCGGCAGCCGGGCUGCAGAACACGCCGGCGAGAGAACUGCAGUCGUAUGCGUCCCCGUCCCAGCAGUCGGGUGAGGGGCCGCGGCGGUCCGCGCGGCUGCAGGAGCAGGCGGCGGGCGGGGCGGGACCUAGCACUGGGCCUGCCACGGCGGUGGCGGCAGCAGCGGCGGCGGUGGAGGGCGACCCUCGCAUGCCGCCCCCGGAUGCGUCCCUUCUGCGGGGUACGUGGCGGAGGCUGUGGGACAGCCAUGCCAGUCGGGGGGCAAAGGUGCUGGUGUACAGGCUGCAACAUGCUUACCUGCCUUGCGGGCUGUACAGGGCGGGCAAGGGCAUUCGGCCACGGGUGACCACGGGGUGCGGGGGGUUGGGGGCGCACUGUCCUCACCCCGCCUGCGGGCCACCUGGCCCGCGGGCGUGGGCCAGCCUGACGCACAUCUUCCUGGAGUGUCCAGCUUAUGCGCAGGCGAGGACGUGGCUGCAGCAGCUGUGGGCCUGCGUUGCGCCCCAGGCAGCGGCGCCGCCAGUGACGGACGCGGGCUUCAUGCUGGGGGACCGCAUGGGUAUGUGGGCCUCAGGCCCGCGGGGGGCGGGCGCACUGCUGUGGAGCACUUUGCGGGCCACCUUCUUGUACGCCGUCUGGUGUGCGUACUGGUCCCGCGAGCCUGCUAAGCAGACGUCGGAGCAUGUGGUUCGGGAGGUGGUCAGCGAGCUGCGCAGGGUGAUGCGGCUGCGUUUCACUGCCGCCACGCUAACCCCUGAAACCCUGUCGGCUCUGCCCACUCAGCUUCUCACCGCACAGCUCAAGGCGGCUAAGCUGGAGCACUUUGUUGCCAUCUGGUCGGCGGGUGGCGCGCUUUGUGAAGUGGAGGAGGUUCAGGGUGGGUCACCGAAGUUGAACUUGCGGCUGACGCUUGCAUCACCUGUGCAGGCCCCCUAGGUUUCCUUUUGGGCGGCGUUUCUUUCCAGGCGCUGGCGUGGCGUUUUAUCGUCAUCGGCUUAUCUGGCGCCCAUGUGUUUUAGCUCUGGCUGGCGUCACAGCGCCUGGGCGGCUGUGGGCCUUCCUGCACAGCGCGUCUUGCAGCGGGCUGGAGCCCGCUUAGUCAGCGCCACAUCUGGCCCGUUUAGUUUUCUGCUUGUGUCUCCUCUGCCGGUUCUCCUGGGGUGUUGCUUAAGCAACCGACUUGUGGAGGUGGGGUGGGUUUGGGCGGGGCGAGUGCGUAGCUCUGGUGUUUUCUUUUCUGGCGCACGGUGGUGGUGGUUCUUGCGGUUAGGCUGUGGUGUAGGUUGGUGCUUGGGUUAGGUCUGGCGGUGUUUUUGUGCAACCCCUCCCGGGGGGCGGGGGGGCCAGCCUCCUGCUCUGUCUGCCGGGUCGGGGUGGGGUGGAGUGGGUUUGGUGGUUGCUGGCGUUUUCGAGGUGUUUGCUUUCUGUUUUCUUCUCUUCUCUUCUCUUCUUGCCCUUUCAGGGUUCUGGUCUCGGGGACCAGGCUGCUUUCAGGCAGCAGGGGGGCAGCGCGUCUGCCCCUGUUCAACCUUGUAAGGAUGAUUCCUCAAAAAAAGGUGCGGUGGAGCCAGGGGUCCAGAGCCACCGGGUUAUUGUGGAAAUGCUGCGCCGCCGUGGUGGUCAGCUGCGCCGCUGCACGCUGCCACUCCGCCUCCCGCUCCACCAGCCGCGACUGUGCCGCCGGCUGGGGCCCCGAACCCCCCGCCUGCUGUGCUGGCGCUGGGCACGGCAUGGCUGCAGGGCGGGCCGGAGCCGGUGGUGCAGCCGUGUUAGCCGCGGUGAUGGCCCGCCGCACGUCCCGCACCGUGUAGUCCGCCAAGCUGACACCCGCAAUCCGGCAGUGCUCCGGGUGCACCACCACCCCAGCCUCCGGCGCCAGGAAGUAUGGCGCCCGAGGCCACGCCCCCGCCCGUUCCCCUGGUGAUGCUGCAUCGUACGCCGCCCGCUCUUCAAAGGUCCACACGUGCCGCGGCUUGCGAUGCUGCAGCACACAGGCAGGCUGCCACGCCCCAUCCACCGCCGGGGGCAGCACGCCAGGCCCAGGCUCCAAGAGCCGCCCCGUGUAGUGGACGUAGGACACAGCCCCCGCAGCGUUAGCCACCCACAGCUGGUCCAGGCUAACCCGCCACUGUGGCGGCGCCGCUGGCGGCUGAGUGGCUGGCUGCGGCGGAUGCUGUUCCACACCCGCGCUCCGCACGUGGCCGACCGCGGCCGCCAGCCUGGCCCGCGGGCGUGGGCCAGCCUAACGCACAUCUUCCUGGAGUGUCCAGCUUAUGCGCAGGUGAGGACGUGGCUGCAGCAGCUGUGGGCCUGCGUUGCGCCCCAGGCAGCGGCGCCGCCAGUGACGGACGCGGGCUUCAUGCUGGGGGACCGCAUGGGUAUGUGGGCCUCAGGCCCGCGGGGGGCGGGCGCGCUGCUGUGGAGCACUUUGCGGGCCACCUUCUUGUACGCCGUCUGGUGUGCGUACUGGUCCCGCGAGCCUGCUAAGCAGACGUCGGAGCAUGUGGUUCGGGAGGUGGUCAGCGAGCUGCGCAGGGUGAUGCGGCUGCGUUUCACUGCCGCCACGCUAACCCCUGAAACCCUGUCGGCUCUGCCCACUCAGCUUCUCACCGCACAGCUCAAGGCGGCUAAGCUGGAGCAUUUUGUUGCCAUCUGGACGGCGGGUGGCGCGCUUUGUGAAGUGGAGGAGGUUCAGGGUUGGUCACCGAAGUUGAACUUGCGGCUGACGCUUGCAUCACCUGUGCAGGCCCCCUAGGUUUCCUCUUGGGCGGCGCUUCUUUCCAGACGCUGGCGUGGCGUAUUAUCGUCAUCAGCUGAUCUGGCGCCCAUGUGUUUUAGCUCUGGCUGGCGUCACAGCACCUGGGCGGCUGUGGGACUUCCUGCACAGCGCGUCUUGCAGCGGGCUGGAGCCCGCUUAGUCAGCGCCACAUCUGGCCCGUUUAGUUUUCUGCUUGUGUCUCCUCUGCCGGUUCUCCUGGGGUGUUGCUUAAGCAACCGACUUGUGGGGGUGGGGUGGGUUUGGGCGGGGCGAGUGCGUAGCGCUGGUGUUUCUUUUUCUUGCGCGCGGUGGUGGUGGUUCUUGCGGUUAGGCUGUGGUGUAGGUUGGUGCUUGGGUUAGGUCUGGCGGUGUUUUUGUGCAACCCCUCCCGGGGGGCGGGGGGGCCAGCCUCCUGCUCUGUCUGCCGGGUCGGGGUGGGGUGGGAUGGGAUGGAUGGGGGUGGUUGGUGGCGGUUUUCGAGGUGUUUGUUUUCUGUUUUUCUUCUCUUCUCUUCUCUUCUUGCCCUGUCAGGGUUCUGGUCUCGGGGACCAGGCUGCUUUCAGGCAGCAGGGGGGCAGCGCGUCUGCCCCUGGUCAACCUUGUAAGGAUGAUUCCUCAAAAUAAAAAGACGUCGAAGCAUGUGGUUCGGGAGGUGAUCAGCGAGCUGCGAAGGGUGAUGCAGCUGCGUUUCACUGCCGCCACGCUAACCCCUGAAACCCUGUCGGCUCUGCCCACACAGCUUCUCACCGCACAGCUCAAGGCGGCUAAGCUGGAGCACUUUGUUGCCAUCUGGUCGGCGGGUGGCGCGCUUUGUGAAGUGGAGGAGGUUCAGGGUGGGUCACCGAAGUUGAACUUGCGGCUGACGCUUGCAUCACCUGUGCAGGCCCCCUAGAUUUCCUCUUGGGCGGCAUUUCUUUCCAGGCGCUGGCGUGGCGUAUUAUCGUCAUCAGCUGAUCUGGCGCCCAUGUGUUUUAGCUCUGGCUGGCAUCGCAGCGCCUGGGCGGCUGUGGGCCUUCCUGCACAGCGCGUCUUGCAGCGGGCUGGAGCCCGCUUAGUCAGCGCCACCACCGGCUCCGGCCCGCCCUGCAGCCAUGCCGUGCCCGGCGCCAGCUCAGCAGGCGGGGGGUUCAGGGACCCAGCCGGCGGCACAGUCGCGGCUGGUGGAGCGGGAGGCGGAGUGGCAGCGUGCAGCGGCGCAGCUGACCACCACGGCGGCGCAGCAUUUCCACAAUAACCCGGUGGCUCUGGACCCCUGGCUCCACCGCACCUCUGCGGCAGCCGGGCUGCAGAACACGCCAGCGAGAGAACUGCAGUCGUAUGCGUCCCCGUCCCAGCAGUCAGGUGAGGGGCCGCGGCGGUCUGCGCGGCUGCAGGAGCAGGCGGCGGGAGGGGCGGGGCCUAGCACGGGGCCUGCCACGGCGGCGGCGGCAGCAGCGGCGGCAGUGGAGGGCGACCCUCGCAUGCCGCCCCCGGAUGCGUCCCUUCUGCGGGGUACGUGGCGGAGGCUGUGGGACAGCCACGCCAGUCGGGGGGCAAAGGUACUUGUGUACCGGCUGCAACAUGCUUACCUGCCUUGCGGGCUGUACAGGGCGGGCAAGGGAAUUCGUCCACGGGUGACCACGGGGUGCGGGGGGUUGGGGGCGCACUGUCCUCACCCCGCCUGCGGGCCACCUGGCCCGCGGGCGUGGGCCAGCUUGACGCACAUCUUCCUGGAGUGUCCAGCUUAUGCGCAGGCGAGGACGUGGCUGCAGCAGCUGUGGGCCUGUGUUGCGCCCCAGGCAGCGGCGCCGCCAGUGACGGACGCGGGCUUCAUGCUGGGGGACCGCAUGGGUAUGUGGGCCUCAGGCCCGCGGGGGGCGGGAGCGCUGCUGUGGAGUACUUUGCGGGCCACCUUCUUGUACGCCGUCUGGUGUGCGUACUGGUCCCGCGAGCCUGCUAAGCAGACGUCGGAGCAUGUGGUUCGGGAGGUGGUCAGCGAGCUGCGCAGGGUGAUGCGGCUGCGUUUCACUGCCGCCACGCUAACCCCUGAAACCCUGUCGGCUCUGCCCACACAGCUUCUCACCGCACAGCUCAAGGCGGCUAAGCUGGAGCACUUUGUUGCCAUCUGGUCGGCGGGUGGCGCGCUUUGUGAAGUGGAGGAGGUUCAGGGUGGGUCACCGAAGUUGAACUUGCGGCUGACGCUUGCAUCAGCUGUGCAGGCCCCCUAGGUUUCCUUUUGGGCGGCGUUUCUUUCCAGGCGCUGGCGUGGUGUAUUAUCGUCAUCAGCUUAUCUGGCGCCCAUGUGUUUUAGCUCUGGCUGGCGUCGCAGCGCCUGGGCGGCUGUGGGCCUUCCUGCACAGCGCGUCUUGCAGCGGGCUGGAGCCCGCUUAGUCAGCGCCACAUCUGGCCCGUUUAGUUUUCUGCUUGUGUCUCCUCUGCCGGUUCUCCUGGGGUGUUGCUUAAGCAACCGACUUGUGGUGGUGGGGUGGGUUGGGGCGGGGCGAGUGCGUAGCGCUGGUGUUUCCUUUUCUGGUGCGCGGUGGUGGUGGUUCUUGCGGUUAGGCUGUGGUGUAGGUUGGUGCUUGGGUUAGGUCUGGCGGUGUUUUUGUGCAACCCCUCCCGGGGGGCGGGGGGGCCAGCCUCCUGCUCUGUCUGCCGGGUCGGGGUGGGGUGGGGUGGGAUGGGUGGGGGUGGUUGGUGGCGGUUUUCGAGGUGUUUGCUUUCUGUUUUCUUCUCUUUUCUUCUCUUCUUGCCCUGUCAGGGUUCUGGUCUCGGGGACCAGGCUGUCUUCAGGCAGCAGGGGGGCAGCGCGUCUGCCCCUGUUCAACCUUGUAAGGAUGAUUGCUCAAAAAAAAUCCAGAUGCAGCCACUGACGUCCUAUCUGCGGCGGCAGGUGGAGCAAGGGGCACUGCGCACGCCCCUGUUACCCAGUGGCGAGCAGGCGCCACCGGCUGCCCACCACGCUGACGACACGACCCUCACGGCGCGCGACCCGGCGGUGGACGGGCCGGUCCUGAUGGCGGCAGUACAGCUGUUCUGCCGCGCGUCCAACGCCCGUGUCCAUCCGGACAAGAGCAAGGCCAUGGGCCUUGGCAGGUUUGCGCACCUGACGGGCACUUGCCCACACACGGGGGUGCCGUUUACCACUGGCGCCGUGACGCACCUGGGUGUGCCCCUGUCGUGGGACUCUGAUGCGGCUGCAGCUGACCUGUACACCCGGCGGGCUCGCGGCAUGGCGUUUGUGGCGCGUCUGUGGGCCUGUCUCUGACUCUCGUUGGCCGUGUGCACAUUGCGAAGCAGGUGCUGGCGGCGAAGCUGGCCUACCACUUCAGCUUGCUCAACCCAUCGCCUGCGCAGCUGAAGGAACUCACCGACCUGGUGGACCACAUUGCUGCGCGCUCCAUGCACGCUGAGGACGCCAGCCUGGUGUCGCACGGGAACCCGCUCCUGCUGCCAAAGCGGGAAACGGCAUGUCUGCCGUACAAGGACGGGGGUGUCAACCACGUCGACCUGCCUGCGUUCCUGUCUGCCCUGCAAGCUAAGACUUUCGCCCUCCUUGCCCAGCCAGGCCGGCAACCCUGGAAGAUGCUCACCCGGGCGCUGCUUACCCAUGUGCGCCCGGACUCCGCCACCACGUGGGCGUGGGUGUACAGCGACGCGCCGGCGCCAGCGGGGCUGCCUGCCCGGCUGGCGGCCGCGGUCGGCCACGUGCGGAGCGCGGGUGUGGCACAGCAUCCGCCGCAGCCAGCCACUCAGCCGCCAGCGGCGCCGCCACAGUGGCGGGUUAGCCUGGACCAGCUGUGGGUGGCUAACGCUGCGGGGGCUGUGUCCUACGUCCACUACACGGGGCGGCUCUUGGAGCCUGGGCCUGGCGUGCUGCCCCCGGCGGUGGAUGGGGCGUGGCAGCCUGCCUGUGUGCUGCAGCAUCGCAAGCCGCGGCACCUGUGAACCUUUGAAGAGCGGGUGGCGUACGAUGCAGCAUCACCAGGGGAACGGGCGGGGGCGUGGCCUCGGGCGCCGUACUUCCUGGCGCCGGAGGCUGGGGUGGUGGUGCACCCGGAGCACUGCCGGAUUGCGGGUGUCAGCUUGGCGGACUACACGGUGCGGGACGUGCGGCGGGCCAUCACCGCGGCUAACCCGGCCGCACCUCCGGCUCCGGCCCGCCCUGCAGCCAUGCCGUGCCCAGCGCCAGCACAGCUGGCGGGGGGUUCGGGGACCCAGCCGGCGGCCCAGUCGCGGCUGGCGGAGCGGGAGGCGGAGUGGCAGCGUGCAGCGGCGCAGCUGACCACCACGGCGGCGCAGCAUUUCCACAAUAACCCGGUGGCUCUGGACCCCUGGCUCCACCGCACCUCUGCGGCAGCCGCGCUGCAGAACACGCCGGCGAGAGAAAGAAAGAAAGAAAGGUUACACUGGGCCUAAGCUCCUAGCGUGAGAUUAUCGGAGAAUCGCUUGUGAGUGCAACCCCAGCACUGCCAAGCAGACUCUACGGUCUGCACCACCGCAUCCUAGCCACCAUCAUCCUAGCACAUCCGAGCCGCCCUAUCCUAGCCAUCACCCUAUGUCGCUAGGGAACGCCGCAUUAAAGCUGCGGAGCACUGCCAGUUAGUUGCAACAUGCCAGAGCCAUGGCGCUCCUGCUUCGACCUUGGAUCUUGGACCCUGGACCGCACCCCUGGACGCCUCUAAUUCGGACUUCUGCACCACGACCUUUUUCAUUCGUGGGAUCACCGAUCGGUUUUGCACCAAUCUUUCGCCUUUUGCAUAAUUGGGCUUUUAUCCGGAUUUGUACCCGGGUCCCUUCUGCCGUAAGGACGAGUCAAAUCGCUAAACUAGUUAGCAAUCCGGUGAUUGGGGGCGGGGGGGCCAGCCUCCUGCUCUGUCUGCCGGGUCGGGGUGGGGUGGGGUGGGAUGGAUGGGGGUGGUUGGUGGCGGUUUUCGAGGUGUUUGCUUUCUGGUUUCUUCUCUUUUCUUCUCUUCUUGCCCUGUCAGGGUUCUGGUCUCGGGGACCAGGCUGCUUUCAGGCAGCAGGGGGGCAGCGCGUCUGCCCCUGUUCAACCUUGUAAGGAUGAUUCCUCAAAAAAAAAAUCACCCUGUCCGAGGCCAGGUGGGUAUGCAGCCCGGCAAAGAAAGCAGGCUUGUCCGCCACGGCCGUGGGCGCAUACACACACAAAGCGCAGGCGCAGGUGACCCACGUCCCAAUCCCAACAUACCGCACGGCCCGCCGCAUCCGUUGACGGCGGCUGCAGUACGCAGCCUGGAAGGGACAGCCGACUCCGCGCCAGGAUAGCCGUCCCACAGGAGCGGGGCGACGCUGCCGGGCUGGCAGCAAGGCAGUGGCGCCACGGAAGGCAUGCCCCCUGCGCGGCACGAAGGCAAGACUCCAGCACCGUCGUGUCAGUAGCGUGGGUCUCCUGCACCAUCCCCACAUCCGCCCCAACUUGCUGUAGGUGCGAGACCAGCGCCCGCGCCUUGAACGGCGAGCCCAGGCCAUUGACAUUCACUGUCAGCAGCCGAAGGUUCGCCGCUCCCACUGGUGGCCGCAUUAUGAGCCCCCGCCGGCCACGGCAGCGCCGUGGCGGUUGCGGUUGCUGUUGCUGCUGUGGCGUUUGCCGCGGCGGCCGCCACCCUGGCUGGGGGGCGCUCCGCCGCUGCUGGUGCUCAUGCUAGCGGCACCUGAGCUGGCGCCGCCGGGGUGCAAUGGAGCGCUGCCCAGGCUCAUGAGGCUGGAGGUACUGCGGCUGCGGUGCUGACGUUGCCGGCGGCUGGGCCCGCUGGCCCCGCCGGGGUCCGCCGGCCCACGCUUAGCGGACCGCAGGGUGCGGGCAUCUAGGAGCACGUAGUCCAUGUAGGCCGUCUGCACCUGCUGCGCGGCGUCAUCCAGCUGCUCCGUCACGUUGUUUUUUGAGGAAUCAUCCUUACAAGGUUGAACAGGGGCAGACGCGCUGCCCCCCUGCUGCCUGAAAGCAGCCUGGUCCCCGAGACCAGAACCCUGACAGGGCAAGAAGAGAAGAAAAGAGAAGAAAACAGAAAGCAAACACCUCGAACACCGCCACCAACCACCCCCACCCAUCCCGACCCGGCAGACAGAGCAGGAGGCUGGCCCCCCCGCCCCCCGGGAGGGGUUGCACAAAAACACCGCCAGACCUAACCCAAGCAACCAACCUACACCACAGCCUAACCGCAAGAACCACCACCGCCGCGCGCCAGAAAAGAAAACACCAGCGCUACGCACUCGCCCCGCCCAAACCCACCCCACCCCCACAAGUCGGUUGCUUAAGCAACACCCCAGGAGAAGCGGCAGAGGAGACACAAGCAGAAAACUAAACGGGCCAGAUGUGGCGCUGACUAAGCGGGCUCC